GGUUAAGCGACUAAGCGUACACGGUGGAUGCCCUGGCAGUCAGAGGCGAUGAAGGACGUGCUAAUCUGCGAUAAGCGUCGGUAAGGUGAUAUGAACCGUUAUAACCGGCGAUUUCCGAAUGGGGAAACCCAGUGUGUUUCGACACACUAUCAUUAACUGAAUCCAUAGGUUAAUGAGGCGAACCGGGGGAACUGAAACAUCUAAGUACCCCGAGGAAAAGAAAUCAACCGAGAUUCCCCCAGUAGCGGCGAGCGAACGGGGAGCAGCCCAGAGCCUGAAUCAGUGUGUGUGUUAGUGGAAGCGUCUGGAAAGGCGCGCGAUACAGGGUGACAGCCCCGUACACAAAAAUGCACAUGCUGUGAGCUCGAUGAGUAGGGCGGGACACGUGGUAUCCUGUCUGAAUAUGGGGGGACCAUCCUCCAAGGCUAAAUACUCCUGACUGACCGAUAGUGAACCAGUACCGUGAGGGAAAGGCGAAAAGAACCCCGGCGAGGGGAGUGAAAAAGAACCUGAAACCGUGUACGUACAAGCAGUGGGAGCACGCUUCGGCGUGUGACUGCGUACCUUUUGUAUAAUGGGUCAGCGACUUAUAUUCUGUAGCAAGGUUAACCGAAUAGGGGAGCCGAAGGGAAACCGAGUCUUAACUGGGCGUUAAGUUGCAGGGUAUAGACCCGAAACCCGGUGAUCUAGCCAUGGGCAGGUUGAAGGUUGGGUAACACUAACUGGAGGACCGAACCGACUAAUGUUGAAAAAUUAGCGGAUGACUUGUGGCUGGGGGUGAAAGGCCAAUCAAACCGGGAGAUAGCUGGUUCUCCCCGAAAGCUAUUUAGGUAGCGCCUCGUGAAUUCAUCUCCGGGGGUAGAGCACUGUUUCGGCAAGGGGGUCAUCCCGACUUACCAACCCGAUGCAAACUGCGAAUACCGGAGAAUGUUAUCACGGGAGACACACGGCGGGUGCUAACGUCCGUCGUGAAGAGGGAAACAACCCAGACCGCCAGCUAAGGUCCCAAAGUCAUGGUUAAGUGGGAAACGAUGUGGGAAGGCCCAGACAGCCAGGAUGUUGGCUUAGAAGCAGCCAUCAUUUAAAGAAAGCGUAAUAGCUCACUGGUCGAGUCGGCCUGCGCGGAAGAUGUAACGGGGCUAAACCAUGCACCGAAGCUGCGGCAGCGACGCUUAUGCGUUGUUGGGUAGGGGAGCGUUCUGUAAGCCUGUGAAGGUGUGCUGUGAGGCAUGCUGGAGGUAUCAGAAGUGCGAAUGCUGACAUAAGUAACGAUAAAGCGGGUGAAAAGCCCGCUCGCCGGAAGACCAAGGGUUCCUGUCCAACGUUAAUCGGGGCAGGGUGAGUCGACCCCUAAGGCGAGGCCGAAAGGCGUAGUCGAUGGGAAACAGGUUAAUAUUCCUGUACUUGGUGUUACUGCGAAGGGGGGACGGAGAAGGCUAUGUUGGCCGGGCGACGGUUGUCCCGGUUUAAGCGUGUAGGCUGGUUUUCCAGGCAAAUCCGGAAAAUCAAGGCUGAGGCGUGAUGACGAAGCACUACGGUGCUGAAGCAACAAAUGCCCUGCUUCCAGGAAAAGCCUCUAAGCAUCAGGUAACAUCAAAUCGUACCCCAAACCGACACAGGUGGUCAGGUAGAGAAUACCAAGGCGCUUGAGAGAACUCGGGUGAAGGAACUAGGCAAAAUGGUGCCGUAACUUCGGGAGAAGGCACGCUGAUAUGUAGGUGAAGUCCCUUGCGGAUGGAGCUGAAAUCAGUCGAAGAUACCAGCUGGCUGCAACUGUUUAUUAAAAACACAGCACUGUGCAAACACGAAAGUGGACGUAUACGGUGUGACGCCUGCCCGGUGCCGGAAGGUUAAUUGAUGGGGUUAGCGGUAACGCGAAGCUCUUGAUCGAAGCCCCGGUAAACGGCGGCCGUAACUAUAACGGUCCUAAGGUAGCGAAAUUCCUUGUCGGGUAAGUUCCGACCUGCACGAAUGGCGUAAUGAUGGCCAGGCUGUCUCCACCCGAGACUCAGUGAAAUUGAACUCGCUGUGAAGAUGCAGUGUACCCGCGGCAAGACGGAAAGACCCCGUGAACCUUUACUAUAGCUUGACACUGAACAUUGAGCCUUGAUGUGUAGGAUAGGUGGGAGGCUUUGAAGUGUGGACGCCAGUCUGCAUGGAGCCGACCUUGAAAUACCACCCUUUAAUGUUUGAUGUUCUAACGUUGACCCGUAAUCCGGGUUGCGGACAGUGUCUGGUGGGUAGUUUGACUGGGGCGGUCUCCUCCUAAAGAGUAACGGAGGAGCACGAAGGUUGGCUAAUCCUGGUCGGACAUCAGGAGGUUAGUGCAAUGGCAUAAGCCAGCUUGACUGCGAGCGUGACGGCGCGAGCAGGUGCGAAAGCAGGUCAUAGUGAUCCGGUGGUUCUGAAUGGAAGGGCCAUCGCUCAACGGAUAAAAGGUACUCCGGGGAUAACAGGCUGAUACCGCCCAAGAGUUCAUAUCGACGGCGGUGUUUGGCACCUCGAUGUCGGCUCAUCACAUCCUGGGGCUGAAGUAGGUCCCAAGGGUAUGGCUGUUCGCCAUUUAAAGUGGUACGCGAGCUGGGUUUAGAACGUCGUGAGACAGUUCGGUCCCUAUCUGCCGUGGGCGCUGGAGAACUGAGGGGGGCUGCUCCUAGUACGAGAGGACCGGAGUGGACGCAUCACUGGUGUUCGGGUUGUCAUGCCAAUGGCACUGCCCGGUAGCUAAAUGCGGAAGAGAUAAGUGCUGAAAGCAUCUAAGCACGAAACUUGCCCCGAGAUGAGUUCUCCCUGACUCCUUGAGAGUCCUGAAGGAACGUUGAAGACGACGACGUUGAUAGGCCGGGUGUGUAAGCGCAGCGAUGCGUUGAGCUAACCGGUACUAAUGAACCGUGAGGCUUAACCUU
rnacentral:rRNA from 1 species